UACGUAGGGUGCAAGCGUUGCCCGGAAUUAUUGGGCGUAAAGAGCUCGUAGGCGGUCUGUCGCGUCGGCUGUGAAAACCCGGAGCUCAACUCCGGGCCUGCAGUCGAUACGGGCAAACUGGAGUGUUGCAGGGGAGACUGGAAUUCCUGGUGUAGCGGUGAAAUGCGCAGAUAUCAGGAGGAACACCGGUGGCGAAGGCGGGUCUCUGGGCAACAACUGACGCUGAGGAGCGAAAGCGUGGGGAGCGAACAGG
rnacentral:rRNA from 1 species